CAGGAAGCAGCUUGCUGCUUCGCUGACGAGUGGCGGACGGGUGAGUAAUGUCUGGGAAACUGCCUGAUGGAGGGGGAUAACUACUGGAAACGGUGGCUAAUACCGCAUAACGUCGCAAGACCAAAGAGGGGGACCUUCGGGCCUCUUGCCAUCAGAUGUGCCCAGAUGGGAUUAGCUAGUUGGUGAGGUAACGGCUCACCAAGGCGACGAUCCCUAGCUGGUCUGAGAGGAUGACCAGCCACACUGGAACUGAGACACGGUCCAGACUCCUACGGGAGGCAGCAGUGGGGAAUAUUGCACAAUGGGCGCAAGCCUGAUGCAGCCAUGCCGCGUGUAUGAAGAAGGCCUUCGGGUUGUAAAGUACUUUCAGCGGGGAGGAAGGUGUUGUGGUUAAUAACCGCAGCAAUUGACGUUACCCGCAGAAGAAGCACCGGCUAACUCCGUGCCAGCAGCCGCGGUAAUACGGAGGGUGCAAGCGUUAAUCGGAAUUACUGGGCGUAAAGCGCACGCAGGCGGUCUGUCAAGUCGGAUGUGAAAUCCCCGGGCUCAACCUGGGAACUGCAUUCGAAACUGGCAGGCUUGAGUCUUGUAGAGGGGGGUAGAAUUCCAGGUGUAGCGGUGAAAUGCGUAGAGAUCUGGA
rnacentral:rRNA from 1 species